ACUUUAAUUGAAGAGUUUGAUCAUGGCUCAGAUUGAACGCUGGCGGCAGGCCUAACACAUGCAAGUCGAGCGGAAACGACAACAUUGACCCUUCGGGUGAUUUAUUGGGCGUCGAGCGGCGGAC
rnacentral:rRNA from 1 species